rfam:Psychroflexus torquis ATCC 700755 1100007023107, whole genome shotgun sequence.
CCAACCAUGAGGUUGGGACUGAAGAUUAUUUGUGAUUGAUUAAUGAGCAAAUACCGCUACAAAACUAGGUACUGACGGACAGAAACCGUACACGAGGCAUUUAUGCACGGGUAAGCAACCAAAUCAUUGUAAAGCCCAAAGAAUGCCAAAAGUGUAUUAAUGUAGAUACGGCAGGAAUCGAGUGAAAGAAGAUGUA